GUCAACUUCAAAGCCAUAAAAGAUGACAUCUACCUAAGCACAACAUACAGAAGGUGUUGGCAGUGCAGAUAGUCUUACCUUAUGAACAGGCUUUAACGUCCAAAUGAAGGAGGCAGUAUUUUGCAUUUCUGCAGAGCUUUGCACAGAUCCUGUUCCCAUGCAAACUGAUGAGGGAGAAAUACUGGAGGAAGGCAGUCCCAAGGUCAGUGAGAUGGAACAUGAGGAUUUUGUAAUGGAGGGGCAUGGCAAGACUCCACCUCCUGGUGAAGAAAACAAACAGUGAGUCACACGUUUAUUUAAAAAGGGCCUUACCAUAGUAAAUGGUGUGAAGCACUCUUGUUUAAAUGUGCUGGGAGCAUUGGUUGUUCGUUUGGUGCUUGCCCUUUUGGUUCCUUAAAUAUCCAUAUAUAAUAGUGGAUGGUGGCUUAAAAAAAAAAAGCAGGAUGUUGACUUGCCUAAAAGCAUAGAAAUAUGCAUUGCAAUUUCAGAAGGUAAUUCAGAAGUUGUUGUAAAAGGGAUAAUCAUUCUGGAAGCUUGGCACUGAAGUAGUGAAUUUGUAC
rnacentral:lncRNA from 1 species